rnacentral:rRNA from 1 species
ACUGCAAGUCGGUGACGGCAAGCAAAUCUCUUAAAGCCAGUCUCAGUUCGGAUUGUAGGCUGCAACUCGCCUACAUGAAGUCGGAAUCGCUAGUAAUCGCGGAUCAGCACGCCGCGGUGAAUACGUUCCCGGGCCUUGUACACACCGCCCGUCACACCACGAGAGUUUGUAACACCCGAAGUCGGUGAGGUAACCAAUUUGGAGCCAGCCGCCUAAGGUGGGAUAGAUGAUUGGGGUGAAGUCGUAACAAGGUAGC